ensembl:rRNA 5S_rRNA 5S ribosomal RNA
UCCUGGGGCCGCUCCCCAGUUAGCGCCCAUCCCAAGCUAAGCAGGGCUGGGCCAGGUCAGCACAGGACUUGGAGACAGCUUGGGGAAACCCAGGAGCUGCAGGCA